ensembl:lncRNA
UCUGCUUUCAGCUCACCAGCUGAAGCCCAUCUGACCUUUCAGCUUAACUUACGAGGAGGCGGUGGCUGGAAGCUAUAGAUGCUGGAUGACAUGGGGACAGAUGAUUCUGUGUCUGGGAAUGUGUGUGACAGGCGGAGGAGGAACGCCUGUGAAAUUAAGCUUCUGUUUGACUCAUCUUUGUUUUCCAGGAACUGGAGAGUCACCGCAGCAGUGAGGGUCACCUCUCUGAAAGGCACCUGCUUAUCUUCCAUCUGUGUCUGUGGAGGGAGAAAACUUGUCUCUACGUCAGCAAAGCUGGUCUGGUGUCUCGGAUUUGACCCUGCGUUGCCCACUCCUGCUGGAUCUUGUCCAGUCGAGGGACAAAACGUCCUGACACCCUCCUGAAGAAUGGGAAGAAAGGAGAUUCUGGAAGCACAGAUUGCAAUACCAUGCUAGAGGCCGAGGAGACCGACGCGAAGGGAUUGCUCCCACACCAACAGGAGCCCUGAGGACGACUGGAGCUGGAGGCACGCAGGCCCAAGAAGGGUGGAAAUGCCAGCAGUGACCAAGAGCCACCCACAGCGGUUCCCGAGCAGUCUGUCCAGGAUCCACCGAAUGGAGGGCACACGGCAGGUCUCUCUCACUUGGCAACUGCAACUUUGCAACCUGGAACAAAGGCCAGAAAAGCCCAAGAAGGAGCACAAGUCCAAGAGCUUUCAGAGUAACCUUGAGAAAAUUGUCUACUGAAUGGUGACCCGUUCUGCCACUGGAUAUUGGGAGAAGAGACGUUCCCUCGCACGUUGGAUCCCAUCAUACCUGGAUGCCAUUCCUCACAGACUUUGAAGAUUUUAUAUCCACCUUUAAGCAUGCUCUUCCUGUUUCAGCUCUAGGAGUUCUGGUUAACAUUCUCUAUGAGAAAAUGUUCACUUUUUCUCCCUUCGAGUUCUGGAUUAAACUGUCUUACCUGGAGCUGGGUCAGUUGAGGCUAGAGGCACCUCCACACAGUCCUGUUUCUCAGAAGUUGCCAGGUUCAUGUCAUACUUGUUUCAUUUGCGAACAGGGGUCCUCCUCUGACAGAUGCUAUCUGGCCUGGUCAGUGUGGCUCCUGGUCUGCUCUUUGGUGCCUUUCUCUCCUCCCCGUCCCAGGUGAGACUCACCCAGCGGUGACCCUGCGUCUCCUGGUGAGGACCACAUUUGCGGUGGAUGUGCUUUGGCUGGAUGUGUGAGAGAAAGCGUGGUCUGAUGGAACCAACAUCUUUGUAAAUUUGGAGGUGACUGGAGCACGGCUGCAUCCCGGGGAAAGGGAGCUUUAGGGGAGGCCAGUCCUUACCUCAGUGUUCCACCUGGCUCCACCCUCGUAACGCUUACUCUCAUCUUUUUAGUGUCUGUUCUGAUUUAGGGUAGUUAUUCUUUUCUUUAUUCGAUUAAAAGUAACUUUGGUUGUUAUUUUUUAUUUUUGCAAAUCACAUGCUUAUUACAAAAACAGCAAAAAUAUAGUCAGGUAAAAGAGGAAAAAACAAGCCUAAAUCCUACUUACCCCAAAGACAACCAUUGAGAUUCUGUUGAAGAGCCUUCCAGAUCCCUUUCUAGGCAUACCGUAUCGUGGAUAGAUAGAUAGAUAGAUAGAUAGAUAGAUAGAUAGAUAAAUGUAACUGUAAUGUCACAAUUCCACAUAUAUUCUUUGAUAACACACAU